rnacentral:rRNA from 1 species
AACUGGGGCUAAUACCGGAUAGGAGCUCCUGCUGCAUGGUGGGGGUUGGAAAGUUUCGGCGGUUGGGGAUGGACUCGCGGCUUAUCAGCUUGUUGGUGGGGUAGUGGCUUACCAAGGCUUUGACGGGUAGCCGGCCUGAGAGGGUGACCGGCCACAUUGGGACUGAGAUACGGCCCAG